rnacentral:rRNA from 1 species
UGGGGAAUUGUUCGCAAUGGGCGCAAGCCUGACGACGCAACGCCGCGUGGAGGAUGAAGACCUUCGGGUCGUAAACUCCUUUCGAUCGAGACGAAUGGCCUCCGGGUGAACAAUCCGGAGGAGUGACGGUACCGAGAGAAGAAGCCCCGGCUAACUCCGUGCCAGCAGCCGCGGUAAUACGGAGGGUGCGAGCGUUAUCCGGAAUCACUGGGUUUAAAGGGUGCGUAGGCGGCUGUAUAAGUCAGUGGUGAAAGGCUGUGGCUUAACCAUGGGAUUGCCAUUGAUACUGUACGGCUUGAAUUAGGAUGAGGUUGGCGGAAUGUGACAUGUAGCGGUGAAAUGCUUAGAUAUGUCAUGGAACAUCGAUUGCGAAGGCGGCUGACUGGACCUUAAUUGACGCUGAGGCACGAAAGCGUGGGGAGCGAACAGGAUUAGAUACCCCCGUAGUCCCUGAGCGGGCUGGCAAGGCGCAU